rnacentral:rRNA from 1 species
CCUACGGGAGGCAGCAGUGGGGAAUUUUGGACAAUGGGCGCAAGCCUGAUCCAGCCAUGCCGCGUGUGGGAAGAAGGCCUUCGGGUUGUAAACCACUUUUGUCAGGGAAGAAACGGCCUUUACUAAUAUUAGGGGCUAAUGACGGUACCUGAAGAAUAAGCACCGGCUAACUACGUGCCAGCAGCCGCGGUAAUACGUAGGGUGCAAGCGUUAAUCGGAAUUACUGGGCGUAAAGCGUGCGCAGGCGGCUUUGCAAGACAGAUGUGAAAUCCCCGGGCUCAACCUGGGAACUGCAUUUGUGACUGCAUGGCUAGAGUACGGUAGAGGGGGAUGGAAUUCCGCGUGUAGCAGUGAAAUGCGUAGAUAUGCGGAGGAACACCGAUGGCGAAGGCAAUCCCCUGGACCUGUACUGACGCUCAUGCACGAAAGCGUGGGGAGCAAACAGGAUUAGAUACCCUGGUAGUCCACGCCCUAAACGAUGUCAACUGGUUGUUGGACGGCUUGCUGUUCAGUAACGAAGCUAACGCGUGAAGUUGACCGCCUGGGGAAGUACGGCCGCAAGGUUGAAACUUCAAAUUGAAUUGACGG